UUCCGGUUGAUCCUGCCAGCGGGCACCGCUAUCGGUAUGCGAUUAAGGCAUGCGAGUCGAGAGGUGCAAGACCUCGGCAGACGGCUGAGUAACACGCGGAUAAUCUGCCCUGGAGUGGGGGACAAUCUCGGGAAACUGAGGAUAAUACCCCAUAGAUGUGGUGUGCUGGAAUGCUUCCACGUUCAAAGCUCCGGCGCUCCAGGAUGAGUCUGCGGCCUAUCAGGCUGUAGUGGGUGUAACGGACCCACUAACCGACGACGGGUAGGGGCGUUGAGAGACGGAGCCCCCAGAUGGAUUCUGA
rnacentral:rRNA from 1 species